rnacentral:lncRNA from 1 species
AAAAAUAAAAAACAACAUAACGGCCUCCAGUAAGUGCCAAAGAAGAAAAAAAAACCACAAUAAAGAUAGAGCUCAUCAGAAUUCUUCCUGCUUAGAGGUAAGUUUGAGACUCUGAGAAACCUGAUAGAUGAUGAAUCAGGCCACAUCUGACGCUUCUCUUCUAAUAUGAGAGUCCAACCACCCUGGACCAUUAGUAGCCAUAUACGAUUGAUGAUGUUGAAGGAACAAAGCACUCUCCGCAAUUUUCGUUGCUACUUUGUUACCUUCAAUAGUAGUUAACACCAAGCGACAAUCCCCC